GCUAAAAAUCUAGCCUUACUUAAUUAAAUUAGAUUAUACUAGAUUACACUAGUCCCCUAAACUAAAACAUUUACCAUAUUUAGUAAAGGCGAUUGAAAAAUUAGUUCGCGCUACAACAAUAGUACCGCAAGGAAAAGAUGAAAUAAAAAUGAAACAAAUUUAAAGCACAAAAAAGCAGAGAUAUUUCCUCGUACCUUUUGCAUCAUGAUUUAACUAGUAAAAUCAAACAAAAUGCUUUAAAGUUUGACCCCCCGAAACUAAACGAGCUACUUCGAAGCAGCUUAAUGAGCACACCCGUCUCUGUUGCAAAAGAGUGGAAUGACUUCCAAGUAGCGGUGACAAACCUAACGUGUUUAGUGAUAGCUGGUUAUUUAAGAAAAGGAUUUAAGUCCUACCUAAAGCAACCCACAAUUCAUCUAAAAUUACCCCAUGCUUUAGAGGCACUUAAGUGAGGUACAGCCCACUUGAGACACGGAUACAACCUAGAUUAACGGGUAAUUUUGUCCCCAUACAACCAAGUAGGCCUAAAAGCAGCCAUCUUUAAAAAAGCGUCAAAGCUUACUUCCACAAAAUUUACAAUACCAUAACCCAACUAAAACCCUUUACCACCAUUAAAUAAUACUAUAAAUAUAUAGAAGUUAUUAUGUUAAAACUAGUAGUAAGAAGAAGACCUUCUCUUAAAUGUAAGUGUAAGUCAGGAAGGACAAGCCACUGAUAAUUAAACGUUAAUGAAUGUAAAACAACAACACCACUAGAAAACCCUGUUUUUCUCAACGUUGAUCUAACACAAGAGCAUUACAAGAAAGAUUAAAAGAAAAAGAAGGAACUCGGCAAAUAUUAACCUCGCCUGUUUACCAAAAACAUCGCCUCUUGCUAAAACAUAAGAGGUCCAGCCUGCCCAGUGACUUAGUUCAACGGCCGCGGUAUCCUAACCGUGCGAAGGUAGCAUAAUCACUUGUUCUUUAAAUAAGGACUAGUAUGAAUGGCACCACGAAGGUUAUGCUGUCUCCUUUUUCUAAUCAACGAAACUGAUCUGCCCGUGAAGAAGCGGACAUAAAGAUAUAAGACGAGAAGACCCUAUGGAGCUUUAAACUAUUAUGGCACCGGCUUACCCCCUAUAAUGCUUCAGAGCCACAUCAUCUAGUCUAGCCGCAAUGACUAUUAGUUUUAGGUUGGGGUGACCGCGGAGUAAAAAUUAACCUCCACACUGAAGGGAGUGCACCCUGAGCCUAGAGCCACGACUCCCAGCACCAAUAAACUGACACCAAUUGACCCAAUAUAUUGAUCAACGAACCAAGUUACCCUAGGGAUAACAGCGCAAUCCACUUCAAGAGCCCCUAUCGACAAGUGGGUUUACGACCUCGAUGUUGGAUCAGGGUAUCCUAGUGGUGCAGCCGCUGCUAAAGGUUCGUUUGUUCAACGAUUAAAACCCU
rnacentral:rRNA from 1 species